GCAAGAAACUCAAAGGUUGUGAGUGUGUGUGUGUGUGUGUGUGUGUGUGUAUACACACACACACACACACACACACACACACAACCCUUCCAUG
rnacentral:miRNA from 1 species